UACUUUGGCGGCUAAUUCGAUGACAAAAGAAAUUGGAUUUUGUGCCGAUAAGGGAGACACGAAACUAGCAGAUCUCCGUUCCGUGUCACUAACGGGUUCGACUCAUCUGACCCGUUUGAUAUGGAUAGGGUUCGGUCUAACCCACAUGACACAACUCAAACUUACCAUUUGCCAGAAACCCUAAUCCAAUCUCGGUUCCCUUCAUCCCGUCGUCGGCCCUCAGGGACGCCGCUCGCAUCGCCAGACGUUGCGAUGAUCCGACCACGGCUUCCGCAACACGGCCUUCCAAGACGGUGCAACUGCGACUCCCCGCCGACGAUGACGCUACCCGUCUCCCCCUCGCUUCACAAAUCUUCUCGUUCGCUGAGAAAUCAUUUAAGUUGGUAUUUGCUGCCAUCCGGGACUUGAGCGACACCUGAGAUGCCAUGAACAUGUACUCGAUUUCAUAUAUUUUAUGGAGCUGUUACUGAA